CUAAAACCCACCCAGGCCGCUUUGGUGCACUAAGCUCUCGAACCUAAACUAAGACAUUGAUGGAACACUAUAUAUAUAGCGAACUUUCUAGACUAAUUAAAAGUCCAUGUGUGACUUGUCAGAUAAAAAUAGCCAACGCUUAUAUUUAAGAAUAAACAAGUCAUGAAAAGAAAUAUUACUAUACAUUGUACGGACAUUUUGACUAAUUCACUAGCUUUGAUACAGCGGAAGCAAAAACAUCGAGCGUAGCAAAGAUAAAAAAAAAAUAUAAUGCUAAAAUUAUAUAUUUUCAAAUCAAAGGGAAAAGCGUACGCAAUGUCGCCCGGAAUCCGAC
rnacentral:lncRNA from 1 species